CCCCCACAUGGGCAUGUCUACCGCGAUGUGGGUUUGGGGAUCUAAGCGUGGGAAAUGGUAGUCCCCAACAUUAAGAGCUGGCGGUCAAUGGCACUGGUAACCCAGGUGCUUGUUGUGUGCGGCCUGUUCUACUCUCGGCCGCCGGCCGCCAUCCGUAACCCCGGACGCCCGCCGGCAGCGCACCUUGCGUUGAUUCUGGAAGAGAUUCACGCCGGGCGCGGCGCAUGGUUUCGGAGUCCUUGCCAGCCGCUACGCAGUUUACGUAGCGAACGGACGCCCGCGCAGGCGCAGGAGUGGGGCGGAGCAGCGGGAGCCGGGAGCUGGAGCCCGGUGUCCGGGCGACCGGAUCCCGCUUCCUCAGCAGCGGCCUGAGGACAUUGACAUCGACUUCCUUUUAUUCACCGGGGCUGAGGGUGGACGCGGUGGGGGAACACGUCUGGAAUCUUGAGGACAGAGGAAGAAGCCUCCCAAUCCGGAUUAUUGCAGGGGAAAGAGGAACCAAGCUUGGGGAGCCAGAGACUCUGUGCCACUGCAUCCUCGCAUCUUGUCCCUGGGGCUGGCCCAGGGAAGGACACCCCAACCCCUAUUUCAUUUGCCCUGGGUGGUGUUCAAGGCCAAGGCGAAGCGUCGGCCAGAGAUGAGCCGAGGCUUGCUGGCUGUCCGAGGGGCCUUCGUGGGUGCUUCACUGCUCUUUUUGCUGGUGAAUGUACUGUGUGCAGUGCUGUCUCGCCAGCGCCAGGCACAGCCCUGGGUCCUUCUGCUGGUACGCGUCCUGGUGAGCGACUCCCUCUUUGUCAUCUGCGCCCUCUCGCUUGCUGCCUGCCUCUGCCU
rnacentral:lncRNA from 1 species